rnacentral:rRNA from 1 species
GAUGAACGCUGGCGGCGUGCCUAAUACAUGCAAGUCGAGCGAACGGACGAGAAGCUUGCUUCUCUGAUGUUAGCGGCGGACGGGUGAGUAACACGUGGAUAACCUACCUAUAAGACUGGGAUAACUUCGGGAAACCGGAGCUAAUACCGGAUGAUAUUUUGAACCGCAUGUUUCAAAAGUGAAAGACGGUCUUGCUGUCACUUAUAGAUGGAUCCGCGCUGCAUUAGCUAGUUGGUAAGGUAACGGCUUACCAAGGCAACGAUGCAUAGCCGACCUGAGAGGGUGAUCGGCCACACUGGAACUGAGACACGGUCCAGACUCCUACGGGAGGCAGCAGUAGGGAAUCUUCCGCAAUGGGCGAAAGCCUGACGGAGCAACGCCGCGUGAGUGAUGAAGGUCUUCGGAUCGUAAAACUCUGUUAUUAGGGAAGAACAUAUGUGUAAGUAACUGUGCACAUCUUGACGGUACCUAAUCAGAAAGCCACGGCUAACUACGUG